rnacentral:rRNA from 1 species
AGCGAACGCUGGCGGCAGGCCUAACACAUGCAAGUCGAACGAACCUUUCGGGGUUAGUGGCGGACGGGUGAGUAACACGUGGGAACGUGCCUUUAGGUUCGGAAUAACUCAGGGAAACUUGUGCUAAUACCGAAUGUGCCCUUCGGGGGAAAGAUUUAUCGCCUUUAGAGCGGCCCGCGUCUGAUUAGCUAGUUGGUUGAGGUAAUGGCUCACCAAGGCGACGAUCAGUAGCUGGUCUGAGAGGAUGAUCAGCCACAUUGGGACUGAGACACGGCCCAGACUCCUACGGGAGGCAGCAGUGCGGAAGAUUCGACAAGGGGCGAAAGCGUGAUCUAGUGAGGACGGGUGUGUGGAGAAGGUCUUCGGUUCGUAAAGAACGUUAAGGGGGGAAGAAGAGCAGUAAGCUUACACCUUGCUGUUUUGACGGUACCCCCAGAAAAAGCCCCGGCUAACUCCGUG